rnacentral:rRNA from 1 species
AUUGAACGCUGGCGGCAUGCCUUGCACAUGCAAGUCGAACGGUAACAGGUCUUCGGAUGCUGACGAGUGGCGAACGGGUGAGUAAUACAUCGGAACGUGCCCAGACGUGGGGGAUAACGAGGCGAAAGCUUUGCUAAUACCGCAUACGAUCUAAGGAUGAAAGCAGGGGACCGCAAGGCCUUGCGCGUUUGGAGCGGCCGAUGGCAGAUUAGGUAGUUGGUGGGAUAAAAGCUUACCAAGCCGACGAUCUGUAGCUGGUCUGAGAGGACGACCAGCACACUGGGACUGAGACACGGCCCAGACUCCUACGGGAGGCAGCGGUGGGGAAUUUUGGACAAUGGGCGAAAGCCUGAUCCAGCAAUGCCGCGUGCAGGAUGAAGGCCUUCGGGUUGUAAACUGCUUUUGUACGGAACGAAAAGGCUCUGGCUAAUACCUGGGGCACAUGACGGUACCGUAAGAAUAAGCACCGGCUAACUACGUG